rnacentral:lncRNA from 1 species
GGAGGAGUCAUUUGGUGAGUUUUUGAGUGAAAUCCAAUGGCUAAAACAAUGAAAUACACCAACCACUCCAUUUCAUAACGAACUUCGUACGAGCCUGAAUUGUCAGAUUUCACGGACCAGUCGAUAUCGGAUUGAGCCCAAAACUUGGGGAACAUCACAAUAUAGUGGGAGGAGUCAUUUGGUGGGUUUUGAGUGAAUUCCAAACUCUAGAAAUAUACAACACAAUGACCACUACAUUUCUUAAAUAACUUUGUACGAAC